AGAACGAACGCUGGCGGCAGGCUUAACACAUGCAAGUCGAGCGCCUCGCAAGAGGAGCGGCAGACGGGUGAGUAACACGUGGGAACGUGCCCAAAGGUACGGAACAACUCCGGGAAACUGGAGCUAAUACCGUAUGUGCCCGAAAGGGGAAAGAUUUAUCGCCUUUGGAUCGGCCCGCGUCUGAUUAGCUAGUUGGCGGGGUAAUGGCCCACCAAGGCGACGAUCAGUAGCUGGUCUGAGAGGAUGACCAGCCACAUUGGGACUGAGACACGGCCCAAACUCCUACGGGAGGCAGCAGUGGGGAAUAUUGGACAAUGGGGGCAACCCUGAUCCAGCAAUGCCGCGUGUGUGAAGAAGGCCUUCGGGUUGUAAAGCACUUUUAUCGGGUAAAGAACACGCAGGGUGAAUAUCCUUGCGGACUGACGGUACCCGAUGAAUAAGCACCGGCUAACUCCGUGCCAGCAGCCGC
rnacentral:rRNA from 1 species